rnacentral:lncRNA from 1 species
CAAUAAGCAGAAGGUGUACACUAAAACAAUAAUAAAAUGCAUAGUAUAGUAAAUACAUAGGCCAGCAACAUAGUUGUUCAUUAUUAUCAUUGAGUAUUAUGUGCUGAACCUGGUACAUGUCUGUAGGCCCAGCCACUCAAGAGGCUGAGGCAGGUGGAUCACAUGUUAGAGGCCAGCCUCAGCAACUCAGUGAGACCCUGUCUCAAAACAAAAAGAUAAAAAGGGUUGAGGAUGCAGAUCAGUGAUAAAGCAGGCUUGAGUUACAUCCCCAAUAUCAAAAUAAUAAUAAUAAACAUAUGUGUAUACAUAAAUAAAUAAAAGUUAAAGCUUGGCACUGGUGGUACAACGUGUAAUCUCACCUACUCAGGAAGCUGGUGCAGAAGGAUCACAGUCGGCCUGGGUAAUUCAGAUCCUGUCUCAAAAUUAAAAUAAAAAAGGGUGGGGAUGUAGCUUAGUGGUAAAUCACCCCUGGAUUCAAUCUCGGUACCACACACAUAUACAAGUAUAAUGUACAGCACAUAAUUGUAUGUGCUGUACUUUCACGUGAGUGGUGGCAUGGCAAGUUUGUACCAGCAUCUCCACAAACACGUGAAUAAUGUGCUGAACUACUAUAGUCUCAACAGGUGAUGAGGUUUCUUCAGCUCCAUUAGAAUCCCACAGGACCACAGUCAUGUAUGUUAUCCAUUGUUGACUGAAACUUCCUUAUGUAACGCACAACUAUACUAUACGUUUAUCACUAUGUGAUCUCCUGGGACCCAUUGGAAAAUAAAAGGAGAUGCUAUUAUUAAUUACACUGGUCCAGGCACCUGUAAUCACAGCAACUCUGGAGGCUGAAAUGGGAGGAUUGAAAGUUUGAGGCCAGCCUCAGCAACUUAGUGAGAGCCUGUCCCAAAUUUUUUUUAAAAGGGGCUGGAACUAUAGCUCAGCAGUAAGGCACUUCUGGGUUCAAUCCCCAGUACCACACACACACACAAAUAACAAUAAUUACACUGGAACAAUGGCUAGGAUGUGUAAUCACCCCAAUGACAGAGGAAGUGAAGGGUCUUCGGUAAGCAUGUAGGAGGUGCGUGAGACUCAGCUUGGAAAUAAGGUGGGUAAGCUUAUUUUAGGUAGAGAGUUUGAAGUGACAAUGGAAAUGAAGUCAAAAUUUUCCAUGAAGCAGCCAAAGAUGAGGCAUUGUGGUUCAGAACAAAAAAUAAAUAAAUAUAAC